CGUGGUUUGCACCACGCUAUCUUGCGGAACAACACAGAGAAGAUUAGCAUGGCCCCUGCGCAAGGAUGACAUGUUAACUUGAGAGGUGCUGGGAUGUAGAUCCCAGUUUUU
rfam:Vavraia culicis subsp. floridensis unplaced genomic scaffold supercont1.27, whole genome shotgun sequence.